UGAGCUUCGGGGCCAGAGAGGAAGAAUAGCAGGUGUCAAUAACGGAUAGAUUGGCCAGGAAGAAGUACAUAGGGGAAGCCAGCAAGGAGCUGAAGACGACAGUGACCACGAUAAGCAUGUUGCCACACACUGUGAUCAUGUAGAUAACCAGAAAGACCACGAAGAGAACUCUUUGUACCCCUGGCUUCUGUGAUAGUCCCAGCAUGAAAAACUCUGUCAGAUUGUGUUGUAUUGCCAUAGAUGCCAAGGACGCAGAGGAUGCAGUUACAGCAUUGCCUACGGACUCAAAGGAAGCACACAAGAAUCAAUUCCAGGGAAAGCUUCCCUCCUGGACUCCACAACAAGGUUUGCCCUACAGUGAGUCGGUUUUUCCAAUGGUAACAUCAAGCGAUGUAAGGCAAACUGGAUCCAGAUUAAGGAAUCUCACUUAGCCCAGCUGGAGACAUCCUUCUCUCCUGGUAAGCCACUCCUGCCCCACACAGCCUCAAGUUUAUGAAGCCAACCUAAAUCACUUCCCUCCUUUCUGACUCAUUUUGUGUUCUUCCAGGUUUUGCCUUGGUGAAAUCCACCUAGUUAAGGGCAGCUAGUCCUUCCUGUCUACAAGAAGAUUCAAGGUUAAAAAAAAAAACCUGCUGAAACUCCAUGAGCAUUAUUCUGUGACAUGAUUACCUGCUGCAUAAGGAAAGCUGCAAGAACGGAGAAAGCAGACACUCCAUAUAAACCUGCUGGAAACUGUAAUCUCACAUGGCAGAAAAUGCCUACUCAUUCAUUAUUCUUGUCUUUUUACAUUUUUAUUGGUAUAUGUUUGUGAAACAUAAAUACAUUCAUCUUGGGGAAAUGAUACGUAUCAUAUCUUGAUCCUUUAUUCUUCUAAUGAUAUUAAGGAAAUGCCUGUACUUGUCUUAGUUCUGGUUUUAAAAAAAACUAUUAACUCUGCCCAUCCCCUGUGCUUUUCCUAGAAACAUAGGCCUUUUGGUAAAGUAGCCAGGACUUCUGAUUUUCUGAAGAUCUAAUGAUCAACAUAGCAAGUAAAAGAAACCAUAAAGUGUCAUAAAAAGAAAGAGACACACAAAUAUAAAAAUCGAUGGAGAAAAGAUUUCUGUGCCUUUUUCUCUCCGUGCCAACAUAGUUUCUGCAAGCAACAACUCUGGAGGGGACAAUUUUGG
rnacentral:lncRNA from 1 species